GAUGAACGCUGGCGGCGUGCCUAACACAUGCAAGUCGAGCGGAGAAUUGUUGCUUGCAACAAUUCUUAGCGGCGGACGGGUGAGUAACACGUGGGUAACCUGCCCUAAACAAAGGGAUAACAAUGAGAAAUCAUUGCUAAUACCGUAUAAGCUUACACUAUCGCAUGAUAGAGUAAGAAAAGAUUUAUCGGUUUAGGAGGGGCCCGCGUCUGAUUAGCUAGUUGGAGAGGUAACGGCUCACCAAGGCGACGAUCAGUAGCCGACCUGAGAGGGUGAUCGGCCACAUUGGGACUGAGACACAGCCCAAACUCCUACGGGAGGCAGCAGUGGGGAAUAUUGCACAAUGGAGGAAACUCUGAUGCAGCAACGCCGCGUGAAGGAAGAAGGUUUUCGGAUCGUAAACUUCUAUCUACAGGGAAGAAAAAAAUGACGGUACCUGAGUAAGAAGCCCCGGCUAACUACGU
rnacentral:rRNA from 1 species